UUGGUGGCUAGUACUAUGGCUGGGACCCUAUAUGUCCUGUUGAUGAAGUCAGGUGCUGUUCUGAGCAUUAUUUGUGGCUAUAGAGUGGCGUUUUGAUUGUGGUUUGUUUAUGGCUCCUCAGACUGUUGUGUAUUGCUAUCCUGCAGUUGUUACUAAAGUUGGUAUAACUAGAGAAGCAAACGGUCAGCAACAUUCAUCUCUCGCGGGGGUGUCUAUCUCGGUGUUAUGGUGUGUUUGACCCUGAAUUAAUUGUAUGCCAGGAUAUCCCUUUAACGUUUUUGUUCACCUGUUAUGUUAUGUGCUGCUCUUCCAGCAGCAAUAGGUGUAAUAUAGAAAUAGUGUUUCCCACCAAGAUGUGCUAAUAAGCGGCUCUGUGCGUGUGCCGAGCUUGCCACCCAUGGGAGUAUUAUUCUUUAACAGGCAACAGCCCAUGGAGGUGAGCAUCUCUGUGGAUCUUAAUGAGGGAUUGUGUAAUAUAGGAUCAAAACACACUCCUCCACUUCUUGUAGCGGCGUGAUAUGAAGUGAAUUCUUUACCGGGAGUGUUAUUAGAUAUGGGUGCACUGGAACACACUAUGCUAAGGUUUUGCUCUGCAGUGUUAAUUGUGGAAUCUAUUUCAGAUUUAGUCACAGUUUUAACAUGAAACUGGGUUUUUGUGUCUAGGGCUUUAGGAUCUCAACUUGUACCUUUACUGCAGAAUCAAGGCUGACAUCAGGACUUUCAAAAUUAGAGUAUGCUAGACUCAACUACUGGACCAGUUUUGGAAAGAGCUUCAUUUUUAAAUAGAAACUGCAUGUUUACUCUGACCCAGGAUUUCCACUGCAUCCGACAUGACACACUGACUUGAAUGGUUAUGAUCAGAUACGAUCGGUGGUACGGCCUUUUCCAUAGCUGUUCCGGAUGCGGUGGAAAUUGCCAGUAAUGGGGCACUCACACCAAGCGCAAGUAAAAUCAUCGACACACUUAAUUUCCAUAAAUCUAGACGCGUGAAUGAAUAGUAUCUACUUACUUCAUCCAUGUGUCAACAGUAAUUUCAACAGUAAUCCCUGCCAGUGCAACCGGCAGUGGUAGACAAAGAUUUUUCACAACUGACCAGGUAAUCCGACCCCCUCACCCAAUUGCCCCUGGGUGAGCUCCUUUUUAUAUCGUUUUCGGUAAUUGAAAGAAAAGAUCAGUUUGUCCUCCAUUUUAGAUACCAGUGAAGAGCCGUCCGUGUUCAGAUGUCAACCGGCAGCCUUUGUGCUGAUUAGUUAUCGCGACAUGAAUAUCCACUCAAGUUGAGACAUUCUCAGCUCCCGCCCAAUUCACAUAAUUCGUGUCGCGAGAGUAGUAGGAGCGUCUAAUCGCGUCUUUGCAUUGACUUGACCUGUAACUAAUUUUCGUGAAUGAAUUUACUCGUACUUUGUGUGUGGAGACAGUAAUAGACGCUCCAAUAUGGACUAGGUCAUUAGCACUUACAUCCUUGAUUAUUUAACACCUGAGGUUCUUUGUGCAUCACAUUUGUUUAAAAUCCAUACAUAAAAUCCCCCUUCACCAUAUGGAAAUCAAAUCUUGUGAGGAGAACAUGUAUUCAAAGGCAGCAUUUUUCAUUCCCAGAAGUUUCUGUAUCUCAUUUGAUAUAUUCAGCUCUCACUUAUAAUUGAACAGAACAGCUGGAUGGUUUAGGGGAUUUGUCCCUGUCACUGCUUUUGAAGGAAUGGGCUAAAACGGGUAUAAGUGUAACAGCAAACUCAUAUACGUGCUGAGAAUGGACAAACUAUUUGACAUGUAGCUUUACCUACCUCCUGCCAAAUGAUGUGAAGCUAUGUGACCUCUAAAUCAUAGCGUUUCUCUUCUGAUGUAAGCUUCUACUGAGAUUGUGAAAUAUUACUCAUGCAGUACACCUGGGGCAUUUGAAAAGUCCUGUAAUGCCAGAAAAUUUAGUGGUAUUUCCCCAAAGGAAGGGAUAGAAUUUGCCUAUCUCUGUAUUUUGUUGGACAUGUCUUAAUAAGCAGAAACCUCCGUCCCAGGAGCUCAUCCAGCAGCAGUGCUUACUCCAGCACUCAGAUUAGCAAUGCAAGGAGAGGUGGAAAAAAAGCCUGUGAGAAGAGUUGAUGCACGGUUUAAAGGGUAGUUAGAGUCAUAUUUUGGCAGACGUGUAAACAUUACUAAGCUUUUACUGCGGGAAAAAACAUGUUGCACGUCUCCUUCACACCCCUCUGCGAGUAAACGGCACAUGACUACACCCCUGAUGGAUCAGCCGAAUCGCAGCCAGUUGUAGUUCGCCGUGGUCGUGUACAUGUAGAAAGAUUCAUUGUAGAAACCCAAAGCUUCUCAGUAUUCGUGUGCCUCUGAGUGUUUGCAGCUGCUCUUAACCUUUGGAUCAACAUGGAUGUUUGCAGAAGUGCUUUGGGCCUGUGCUGUGGUCACAUGGGUGAUGGGCUGUAGUUAUUUAUUGCCUCAGGACCUGAAUGAAUUACAGCUUUGGGCAGUAAAUAUAAUUGAUCAAAUAUCUUUUAUUUAUACUUGGAGACCCGUUCUAAUAAAAAUCAUGUUUUUUCUUGUUGUCUACAUGCCCAUACGGCAUUUUUCUAAUGCUACAGGACAUCUCAUGAGGAAAAUAAAUGCAAAAUUGUUUUUGAGGAUUUCUUCACUCAAAUCGCUGUGAAUCUUUGGCAGACCCAAAUGGCAGGUUAAGACACAGUGAGAUUUCCCAAAUCCAAGCUCCGCCCCUGGAGCCCCGCUAUACAGGCCAUACUCCAAAAAGUAGAGGGAACGGUCGCGGAACAAGUGUGUGCGUUAGCGGAUUGCGAUGCUUGUAAUAAAGCUAUUUUUGAUAUUAACUUUCAUCACGUCCCCAAAGACAUUAGUGUCUGAGAGCUAAAUAGCUCCAAUGUUACCUGCCACUUCUACUACACCAGCAACGUAAGGCAGCAAGCUGGAGUGAAGAGGAGUGUGCAGAGCAGCGUUGUCUCCACCCAUGACUCAGAGGUGAAUUGCUAAUGAGCUACUGGAGCUCUGCAGAAGAAAACUCCUUGAAAAUGACACAGGUAACAUGAUUUUGGCUAAAAACUUCAUAAUCACAAUUUAAAGACCACUGAGGACACUUUGAGUAGUGAAAAAAAUGAUUGGAGUGGGACUUUAAAGCUCCUGUGAGAAACUUUAGGUUUUGCGGCUCCAAAACCAAUGAGGCGGGUACAUAUAUGAAACAAAAACACACCUAACCCUAAAAAAAAUUCUAAUAAAAGGUUUCUCAGCUGUUUUUUAUAGUAUUAGGUGUCCUUAAUAACAAACUAAAAGUUUACCAAAGUUUGACCACUAGAAAGGUGUCACUUUCAAGAUGGCGGUCAUGAUAGCUAGGAAGCCCGGGAGACACCCCAGGUGAAUAGGGUAAAAUUUUUAACAAACAGAUGAAGACAAUUUUUUUUUGUAUUACAAGUUUUGUCAAUGUUAUGUAUGAACAUGUAAAUGAGGCAAUAUCUCAUAAAAUAUGCACUAAUUUGCAUACAUUUCUAGAACCUAAAACUGAACUAACCCCAUAAUCCUAAAUUUAAAAAAAUUUUCCUAUUUUUUUUUGUACCAAUUGAUUUCAGAUGGUCUAAAACAUGCUCCUAAAAAAGUCCUGGCCAGUGAUUUUAACCCCUAUUCCAAAACCCUAACCCUUACCCCAAUACCCAGAUGCCACCCCAAUGUAACCCUUACACUUAAUCAGAUAUUGCCUCAUUUACAUAUUCAUACAUAACAUUUGACAAAACUUGUAAUACAAAAAAUACUUGUCAUAAUGUAAGUUAUAAACUUGGGAAGUUUCAUGGUGAUAUCUGUUAGUUAAAAAUUUUACCCCAUUCACCUGGGGUGUCUCCCCUGGGCGUCUUACCCAUCAUGGACGCCAUCUUGAAUAUGGUACCUUUCUAGUGGACAAACUUUGGUAAACUUUUACUAUACUUUACCAUCAAAGUUAACUCUUUUAAAUCAAUUUUAAACAUUGAUGUCUGUUUGAAAAAUUAUAAAAACCUUUUAACUGACAUUCUUAAGAAGCAAUAUUGGUUCAAUGACAGAGACAAAGCCGAGGUAACUGGCCCUAAAUGCAGAUGGGUGGCAUUAGCUCAUCUACAGGUGAGCCAGGGUCUCUGGCAGUUUGAGGAUCAGGACGGCAGAGAAAGAUUUAGAGGCUGCUCCAUGACGCACACCUGAAAAUUAGUAGAACACGGGCAAAGAUGUAGAUAGGGGGUGAAAACAAAUGUUGCUCCAAGUCUGGCGGGACAAGGUGCUAGCAUUUUCUGUCAUUUUGAUUUACAUCAAGGUGAACUCAAUAUUAUCAUCAUCUUCCUCAUUGUAGCUGAACUGUUCAGCUCUUUGCAUAAACAGAAUAAUUUAAGCCUCUGAAAAAUCACCUUGAUAUUGAAAAUAUAGGCUUUUGUUUUAAGUGAUCGAAUGAACUAAUGUGUUUUUUCCAGAUAACCACAAUGGUAACAAUGACUCUAAAUCCUCUCAAUCCCCUUUCUUUACAGCCCCUCAUAAUCCGUCAUGUCAUGUUCAUUGUUGAAAGCAAAUUCGUCCAUUUCCACACCACAAGCUCUCAAACACACAGCGCUACUCCAGCACGAGUGCCACCAAGUUGCAGCGCACCCCCCGUGUAAAGAGGGAAUUUAAUUAGGUGCUUAAAUAUUCAAUCAGCACUCUCAUUACUUAAACCAAGAGGCUCUCUGUAUGGAUUUGACAAAGAGCCAGGGCACACAGAGCAUGCCUGCUAGUUGAAGAUAGUAGUAAGUCUACCAUUCAACCGAAACAGUGGAUUUCCUGAGGACAGCAGGAAACACCAGAGGGACAGGCACUUCUCCUUAAUGAGCCAUGAAUUUGGUAUUAAACAAGUUCUUCCUCGUUAAUGCCACGGGAAGUGGUCAAGGAUGUUGCACCCUCAUUCUGAAGCUGUUUCAUCACCUUUACCCACCAAAAUAAGGAGGGGGGGGUGACGUGUCAUCAUCACUGAAUGGUCUUAUCACAAUUGAUUUCCUUUUCGUAUUUCGGUGCUUCAAAAGAAAGUACUCAUUAUUAUCUGCAUGGCUGGAAGUGAAGGAUAUAAAAGAUGAAAAUGUGUCUAAAUUUGUCAGCAAAUCUCAAAGGAUCUUCAUCGCAAAUAAUAAUGGGCUGGAAUUUAAAAAAUAUAUAUAUGCAACAAUUUAUGAUAACUGUUUCAUAUAAAAUAAGAUAAAAUAAGAUUAUAUGAAAUAAUCUAAAUAAUUAAAUUAUAAUAAAAAAGAUAAAAAUUAAAAUGAAAUAAAUUAGACAAGAUUAAGAAAAAAAAAUACAUUUUUAAUGAUAGUAAAUAUGUUUGUUACCAAUGCAAUAAAGUAAAACAAAAUAGAUAAAAUGAAAUAAAAAUAAAAAGGGACAAAAUUGACACAAAAAAAUCAGUCCUUGCACAGGUAAGAAAAAGGAAAUAAAUAGCCUACUUUACACAACUUCAAAAUAUUGUUUUCCUUGUUUAAAAUGACAAAAGGAAACAUAUUCAGCAGGAAAUACUAACAUGAUAUUUAGUCUUGUAAAAUUCGAGAGAAACAAAGUCCAGCAGGAGGGGGAAUGUCUGAAAGAGCUCCUUUUGUAUGUUGUGGCCAGCUGUGUUUACUAAUAAUGUAAUUUAUAACUGAGCUGCGAUGUGAAACUAUUUAAAAUGUUUGACAUUUUCUUCACAGAAAUUACUUCAAGCAUAUAACAGCUGAACAGUUACACAUGCCCCUCGAGUCAAAAAAUGACACAGAAUUAAAGUCGCUGUGGGAAAACAGCAGAUUUCUGCCACACCAGAAUCACUUUUUUUCUUAAACAGCAUGUCAUUUAGUAACACAGUACUAACCCAAGACAGGCCGAGCUUGUUUAUAUAAUAAUUCAGAAAUGUUCCGUCUUGGACUUAAAUGUAAAGAUGUCAAGCAACCCUAACACAUCGACUCUAUCCCUCUAACCCUGACCUUCUAACCCUCUGACACCCAUCCCCUAACCCAAACGCUAACCCUAAUCCUCACCCUGUAACCCUAACCCCCUAACCCUCUAGCCCUAAUACUAACCCUCUAACCCUAACCCUUUAACCUCAACCCUCUGACCCUAACCCAACCUGAACCCUCCCCAACCCUAACCCUCUAACCCUAAUCCUAACCCUCUGACCCUAACCCUCAACCUGAACUCUCCAAACCUAACCCUCUAUCCCUAAACCCUAAUCUAAUCCUCACCCUCUAUUCCUAACCCUCUUACCCUAAUACUCACCCUAUAACCCUAACUCCUAACCCUCUAUCCCUAAUCCCAACCCUCUGAAAACAACCCUCUAGCCCUAAUCCGAACCCUUGAACCAUAACCCUCUGACCCUAACCCUCAACCUGAACUUUCUAACCAUAACCCCUUAACCCUAAGCCUCUAACCCUAACCCUUUUGACCCUAACCCUCUAACCCUAACUGUUUUAACCCCAACCCUCUAAUCCUGACCCCCUAACCCAAACCCUCUAACCACGAACCCUAACCCUCUAGCUCUUAAUUCUUACCCUCUAGCCCUGAACCCCUAACCCUUGCCCUUCAACUCUAACCCUCUAGCCCUAACCCUAAUCCGUUUUCUCUUACCCUAACCCUACUAACCCUAACCCUCUAACAUUAACCCCCUAACCCUUCUAACCCCAACACCCUAAACCCUCUUCCCUAGCCCCAGAGAUCUGUCUGAUUUAAAUAAUAAAUCAUCUAUUCAUGUUUGUAAAGGCUCUAAAUCAGUGAUAAAAAUGUUUUCACUGUGAAUUUUUCAUUAAAAUUGUCUCUGCUAUUAUUUUGAGGGUUAAAAAUUAACUUGAGAAGAUAAACACACAAACCUACCAUGGGAAAAUGUGCAGACAACAAACAAGGACACCAGGGAGAGAAUAUACAUAAUGACUGUCCUCCAUAAUAGAUAUGUAAAACGAGCAGCAGCUCCUCAUGGCAGCAUAAUAAAUCAGUGGAUUUCUCAGGUCGAAAUUGUCUGUUCAGGAUUUGAUUAAUUUUGGGAGAAAACUAAGGACACAUCUGUUUCUUUGAGUAUUAAAACUAUUGGGAUCUACAUUUACUCAUUAUUCUUCAAUAACAUUAUUCCAAAAGCUAAAUUCUAAGAUUAAACUUGCUUUACCUUGUUGAAAAGGUACAAAAGUGUAUGUAUAUGUCUGUAAAAGUUAUUUUUUCAGGAACAGAAGCUGGUACCUUUUAUCUGCAGUGUCAUUUUUAAAGAGUAAAACUCUUCUCACAGUCCAAAAAGAAAGGAAGAAAACACAUAUAACCUCAUUUUUCUUGUUAGUUACUGUAAGUCUGCUCUGUCAAGUGUGGAAAAAUGUUGUUUUCCUUUCUCUGAAUUCCACCCCUGCUUAUAUGCGUCAAAUCUCUGAAAUGGUAAGACCUUUUCUGGGGCUGUUAGCAUUUUGAAGGAAGUGCCUAUUAUGCAAUGUGUUGACGCUCAGGGGGGCUUCUCCCCGUAUCCUUUGAGUUUUCAUUACCUUGGAGCCAGCCGGGAGAAUAUGAGAGCAAGCUGAACAGUGACUACUCCUCGCUGAGCUCCGUGGCACCUUGAUGGCCAGGAGCUUAUGCUUUCCUUGAGACGCCGAGCUGUUACUUCUUUUUUGUUUGUUUCAGAUUUAUGAUCGGUGCACUGUGGAGAAAACAAGUCAUCAGGGCGGAAAAGAAUCAGAGGCCCAAAACUAAUCUGGAUCUUGUCACAGGCUUAAUUAAAUGUUGUUAACAAAUAUUUGUUUAUGAUAUGCAUCCUCAGUUGUACCUACUCCCUGAAGAGUUCGGAUAAUCCAUGUGCUGUUUACUUAUAGGAGGAAAGUUGUUCUGCAAAUGCUAAACUCAAGAUUGGGCUGCUUUGAUCAGCAUCUCAGCCGUGCAAUAAGCUUUCUCAGUGAGAUAACACUCAAGUCAACGUUUUAAUUUAACUCACAUUUAGAAAAGGCUUCAAAUAUUAUUCAUACAGUAGAAAAAAAACACAUUUCAAAUGUGUAAAGUUUCUGUGUAGAGUAUAAUGAAACUUACUGAAACUCUUUCUGAGCUACUGAAGCAAAUGAGACCAUCAGUAACAUUGAUUAUAUAAAUACGGUGACAUUUAGCACCUUCAACCACUCCUUAGGGUCAAGUGUCAGACAAAGUAUUGUAUUAGCACACCCUUUUUUAUCCACAAGGGGUGCUACAAUCAACACAAGCCAAAUGUUCCCAACAGGAGCUUUAAUGAAGUUUAUUUUCAAUUAUUGGAGGCAUUGCUUUGGGAUGCUCCAUGUUUCAUUCAAUCACUCUAGAAGUAACCCUGAACCUGGUAAGAAUCGCUGUUUGGACAGCCUGAGGGAUAAACCACAAAAUCAUUCUGAGCUGGAGUCAAAAUGUUUGUUUGUGGUUAAAAAUGUAAGCUUGACACACCACUGUGUAUCGUCUAUAACAGCAAAUAGUCUUGACGUUGUCUCUACAUAAGCUUUUCCACAACUUAUCAAUUUGUUGACGACUCAAACUUCUACUACUACUAAAACUCGGCGCUGUGGGCAAUUGCCAACUCAUCGAGUAGUCAAUACCACAGGGAAGGAGCUGACCUUGGCUCUGACAUGCAGCUAAAGGUGUUUUAUGUUUAGUCACGCAACACUGUUAUAUUUUCUCUUCAAAUGAAUAAAAUUUCAGUCUGAAUAGUUUCAUUUCUCUGUGGAAAGCUUAAGUUGUGAGUUUAAUACACAAAAUACAACUUUUAUUGUGCACUAGUUCUGCAACUUUCCUACAUAACAACUAUUUGACAAGUUAACUUCUAUUUUAAUUGACUUGGCAACUUGUAAAAAUAAUUAGUCAUGAAACUCCUACCUCAGAGUUAAUCGCAUGCUUGCAAUUGCAUCUACAAAACACCGCAAUCAACACAAAGUACCUCCAACUGAUAACAACCACCGCAACCAAUAAACAGUUCUAACUAUCAACAACAUCAAAAACACACAAAAGCCAACACAAAGAAAAACAGACAAACAACAAAACACCACCAUCCAACACAACCAACAAGGAACAUCCACCACAUCCAAAAAAACACCACCAACAAUCAACGUUAACAAGCCCCUCCAACCACCACCACAAUCAACAAUCACCGCCAACCACCACACCCAACAACCGCAACCAAAGAAACUCAGCCAAGCACCAUAACCAAGAAACAUGGAAAACUACCACAAGCACCAAGCACCCCCAAUCACCUCAACCACUUACUGCUAUGUUUAACAACCAACAAGCACCUCCAACCUCUACAACCAACAAUACCAAAUAUCAAACCAUGCUUGUCACACUUUAGACUGUCUGAGCAUAACCUGUCCAACGUGGACCAGCAAACAUUCACUUAGAGGAGUCCUGAUAAAUGAGUUCUUGGAACCAAGUACUUCGUUGAUAUGAACAGAGUCUUAACACUUAAAAAAAAUCAUUUUGAAUUAUAAAACCAAAGGUAUAACAGUCAGUUUUAAACUUUCUAAGUCUGUUCAGGUUAUGCUUUCCUAUGGUGUCAAUUCCUUUGACUUUGGUAUCUGCUGUUGUGUCAAACUCAACUGUUGAUUGAUUGGUUGAUUUCAACGUUAAUGAUUUGAAAUUAAUUUUAAUAUUCUAUUAAUUUUAAGUUGGCAAAUGCUUCCUCUGUUGCUUGCAUUUCUCAGGGGAAUAAAAAACUAAAUUGGGACGUAACUAAUGAAAUGGGAAGAACAGGUAAAAGGCCGUGGAGUUCCAGGUCAGGGGCCCACUGAAAACUAGGAGACCUGUCGAGACUUGGAGACUCAGGCCAAGUGCUGAGGAGCUCAAGGUCUGUAAGCUUGCGACUUGUUCUGUUUUUCUGGUAAACAAUGGUUUUCAUAAAUAAUUAGGGCAAAUGAAAAAAAAAAUUGUCUCUGUAUAUCUUAUUGAUUUAAAAUUGUUUUAAUCACUUUUUUUCAUUUUCAGUAUGUUUCCUUGCAUCUUUAAAUCACUUUGAGUUGCCUCAUGUAUGAAUGGUGCUGUACAAAUAAACUUGCCUUUAUUAUUUAGAUAAAAAAUAAGAUAUUUUUUAAAGUUUGUAAAAGUGACACCAAUUGUAUCGGAAAAAGGUUCUACUUUGUGCUCAAACACCACCAACUGUAGCCUGUAUGCAAAGUUACUCUUGAUCAUACCUCUCAGACAGGACCUUUGUGUCCUUCAGCCCGUGUGUGGGUGGUCAUGACUAGCGGGAGAAAAACACAAGUUCCCUUGUUUAUUCUCAGCCCAAACCGGUGGAAAAAAAAUGCUCAGGGAUUUGUUGCCGUUCCCAAAGCCCAUUUUGUGGUUACAGAGCUGUCACCGCUCCCUGAAAGCAGCACAGAGCAGUAUUAAUUAGGCCACCUUUAGCCCUGUAUUUACUCCACCUUUCACGUUGUUAAUGGUGAAAAGAUAUUGUUGGCUUAGCACAAGCUGUUGUCAAAUGAAAGGAUACUUUUAUAGUCUAUUAAUCAUGAAAUAUGUUGGUUGGUGACAGGUUAUACCAUUUCUCCAGUCAUUAAAACAUGAACUUAAAUAUAAUGUUUGUGUUUGACGACACAUGAUGGCGGAAGCAAUAAAAGAGACAUUCUGGUAACUACUGGACGUGAAAAGGCUUAGAGGUAGUACAUGUUUUAUUUCAGGCACACCAAAGACACAGGGGCACGGUCCUCGGCUCUGCUGUCUCUAAGCUUUUUGACCCUUUCUGAGUGUAGGUCAAAAUAACUAUUCAUCUUCAUCCUCUGGUACAGAACCCCAUCUAAUUUCCUCACUGUCCUCUACUGCUGCACCAUCACCGCCAGACCUCGCUUCCCUUUCCCAGAGCCUUUCAAUGUUUAAAUCUUCACACUUGAGAGGCUCAGAAUAAAGUAUUCAACGACCUCUAGCCACAGAACUAACAUACAACAGCGACAAUUUAGAGGUAACAAUCAUUGGAUGACCAAACUUGUACACAGGGCAUGGGUCUAAAACAAGAUGAUCUUGUCUCUGGCGGAUUUCCUGGCGAUUGUUUCUAUAUCUGCUGAUUCUUUCACUUCGCAAUCUUGACAGCAGGACCCCCAAGUGUUUUUAAGAUAAUUUGAAGUCACAGGUUGAGUUAAUCCCAUAGACUGUAUAUAGAAUGGACAGCGUCUGCCUCCUCGCUGAGUGAAGCCACCUCGAGAACAGCACCAUCUGGUGACGGGCUGCAGUAAGAAACUUAAGACAUUUAUUACACAGAACAUAAUUUUUUUUCCUCCCUACUUGCGAUGUUGACAUGUAGUUACUAUAAGACUGGUUUGUGCCCAAGUCCUCUUUUUUCUGUACAGCUCCAUUUUUAAAAAGUUAUUAGGGGGUUCAUGUUUUCUACGAUUGACACCUGAUACAGCCUAUGGGCGUACAAGGAUUGCGUAGAUCACCGGGGGAUACGCUGUUUGAGCCGAGCGUCAUCACAGCGACUCUCCUGUUGAAUGCGUACAAUGCUACUGCGCAAUGUUGGUUUCAGGAAAUGGAGAAAAAUGCGGAAAUAACAAGAGCUAUUCGGCUUCAAAUCCGUAUACUGGCGGAAGGUGGAACCAUGUUGUCCACGGUAUAAACAGUCUAUGGUUAAUACUUGGUGAAGUCGAGAAUAUACCACAUUGUUUCAUCUGAAUUUUAGGAGAUGUUUGACUGCAACGGAUGCAGCAAACACAUCCUUCAUGUCUAGAUAGCCUGGGAAGAAUUUGUGGGUGUCGUGUGAAGGAAGCUUCACACUGGGUCAACCUUUGAUUUGCCCCUGUGAUGCAACAGGUCUUCAAAUGUGCUCUCUGAAGGACGCAGCUGUUGGGGUCACAGGGAGGUUGCCAGGUUUGGUUCUAUCAGGCCUGUUAACUGACCUGAACCCAAACCGUUGUCUCACCAAGCACAGCCAACCUGUGCGAGUGCUGUAGUACUUGAUGGGAAGAAACACUGAGUACUUCCUGUGUGUAGGCUAGGCUAACUCUAGGUUUGCAACUAUCAGCAGCCAUGACAUUGAAAAAGAAAGCCAGUGAUUGUGGAAAUGUAGAGCUUUUGCCCAAAUUGAAAUUAAUGUCCAAUUUCCGUGGCUUUUGUUUAACUGAUGUAAUUGUGCAGACUUUUAACUGGAAAUAAGGCGAAAGAGAAAAUGUGUUGGUGCACUGGGGGUUAGGUUUGAUGACGCUGCAGCUGUCAAUCUGCACUGUAGGUUUUGAGCACUGGUGCAGAAAGAGGAAUAUUAAUGC